GAAGAAAGCAUCAGCAGUUAUUUGUGCUGAGAGGAUCAUAAAGUGAGUGACGACGAUGAAGCUGGAAGUGCCUGCGGAAAUGGUGGGAUGUCUGGGGUGGAGGAGGACUGGGAGGCGAAGGGGAGCAUGGUGAAGGUGUUCAGGGGAAGUAAUGUCAUCGCCCAAAGCAUCUGGCUCUGUGGAUUUGAAAAUUGUUCUCAGGGCAGCUCUUAUUAUUGGGAAUUCAGAUAGGAUCAUUGCAGAAAGGAAUAUGGUUUUGAUUAUUUCUGUAGUCAUUCUAGAAAUGCAAAGUCAAUAUUAGGCACUUAUUUACAUUUAUUAUUUAUUUUGGACCUAGUAGAAUUUUGCAUCUCUCUGACCUGUAUAAUGCUUAUCUCAGCCUGCUUCUUGGAGUCUCGCUGACUUCCACUCUUCCCUCAGUCAUGUCCAGUCAUUAUCAAAUGGCUCUAGGCAAAUUCAUCUUUCUUAGCCUCCAUUUCCUUGGGUUCUACCUUUGUUGUGUCCUUCACAGCCUGUCCUGUUUUCUCUUUGCCCCUCUCCUUGCCUGUACUCUGCCUUGUGUAGGCUCUUUAGCUCUUACCUGGACCUCUCUGGUUUCCCUCCUCCCAUCUAUUUCUCUUUGACCUGCCUACCCAGAGCACGGCAGGAGGGCAGCUAACACCAUUUACUAGGUGCUUUUUCUGUGCCAAGCCCUGGGGUGUAUGUUACAUGAUAUUUCUAGUAUUUCAGUAACCCUGAAACAGUGGUAUUACUUCCAUUGUACAUCUUGGGAGGCUCCAGAAAGAUCAUAACAUGCUCAUACCAGCUAGAAUGAUAACCUAAAGCUGGUGGACACCACAGUUCAUGCGAUUCCCUAUUCAUGUUGCUUACUCUGCUCAGAAGUCUUCAGUGGCUCCCAUUGCCUAAUUUUUAGAUCAAGUCCAGGCUUUUUUUUUUUUUUUUUUUUUUUUUUUUUGUCUCCUUAGGGCUGCACCUGCAGCAUAUGGAGGUUCCCAUGCUACUGUGGUGUAGGUUGCAGACGCGGCUCGGAUCCCGAGUUGCUGUGGCUGUGGCGUAGGCCGGGGGCUACAGCUCCGAUUCGACCCCUAGCCUGGGAACCUCCAUAUGCCGCGGGAGCGGCCCAAGAAAUAGCAAAAAGACAAAAAAAAAAAAGAAUAGAAGAGGAAUUGUUUAAAGUAGAGAGAGAGUGAGAAAGAGUGAAAAAAAUGAAGAUGCUAGCAAAAGCACCAGUAGUGGAUUCUGAGAUAAGGAUUCUAGGAGGUAGGCGUGGCAGUACCCUCUGUUGUGUGCGCAGCUGGGCCUCAGCUUGGACUGGUGGGCAGUGAUGUAUAGUGGGUCAAGGAGUAUGGCUGCUGACUGAUUUUUGUCACUCACUGCUCUAGUUUCCUGCUCCUCAUGCUGAGAUAGAUAAUACCCAUAGAUCGCUUUGAGUUCCCAUCUAUCUGAAGCAUUUCUAGAUUUGCAGUUCAGGUUUCUUUCUGCAGAGCCAGAAUGUGUCCUUUCUUUUCAGACCUCUUCCCACCUCAGAACACUGAGGACAAGCCCACCAUCCUUUAUCUAAACACAGUGGGCUAGAUAUAUUCAGAAAUUUAAUUUUCUAGAUAUUAGAAAGGUAAAAUGGUACAUUCCCAUAUAUUGUAUAAUAUUUCCAGUGGUGUCUGGGUCAGCAUCCCAAAACAAAUACAAUCACAUUUCCACCAACAAAUGUACAGGUUAUCACCUAAGUGAGAAAAGGAAUGAGUAUACUCAGCUAUAUGUCAAGAAGGUCAGGGGAGUUCCCAUUGUGGCUUAGCAGUAAUGAACCUGACUAGGAUCCAUGAGGAUGUGUGUUCGAUCCCUUGCCUCACUCAGUGGAUUAAGGAUCUGGCAUUGCUGUGAGCCGUGGUGUAGGCCAGCAGCUGUAGCUCCGAUUCGACCCCUAGCAUUUGGGAACUUCCAUGUGUUGCAGGUGUGGCCCUAAAAAGCAAAAAAAAAAAAA
rnacentral:lncRNA from 1 species